AUGGCAUUUCAGCAAGAGGCCGUAGGAAUGCUGUGGGAGGAGCUCGGCCGCGGCUACAAUCUCAGCGCCAAGCUUCUGGCUUUGCUCAGCCAACCCAGCCACCUCCUCGAUAGCCAUGGCCAGGAGAUGGCUGUGGCCAUAAGCCAAGAGCUUUCUCAGGUGUUCAGGGCGUCUCUGUCGAUGCUCAACCCCGGCAACAGUGGCAGGGUGGUGGAAGGCAGGGCGACAGCGCUCGAGGCUGCGAUCAUGGAGGGUAGCAUCAGCCAGGCCACUCCGGCGAUCAUCAGGUUGGAGAAGAGAUUACUCCCCCAAGAAUAG
rnacentral:rRNA from 1 species